GAAAUGCGAUAAGUAAUGCGAAUUGCAGAAUUCAGUGAAUCAUCGAAUCUUUGAACGCACAUUGCGCCCGCUAGUAUUCUGGCGGGCAUGCCUGUCUGAGCGUCAUUUCAACCCUCGCACCCGGCUCCUGUCGGGCGCGGUGUUGGAGAUCAGCGUGCCGUCUGACGGCGUGCUGGCUCCGAAAUACAGUGGCGACCACGCCGUGGCCUCCUCUGCGCAGUAACGUAACAGCCUCGCAGGCGGAGAGCGGUGCGGUCACGCCGUAAAACCCCCCAACUUCUGAAUGUUGACCUCGGAUCAGGUAGGAAUACCCGCUGACGCCUAAAGCGAGAAAAAGAGAGAUUUACUACGCUUGGGGUCACCGCGACACCGCCAAUGGUUUUGAGGAGUUAUCCGCCUU
rnacentral:misc_RNA from 1 species